GAUGAACGCUAGCUACAGGCUUAACACAUGCAAGUCGAGGGACCGGCGCACGGGUGAGUAACGCGUAUCCAACCUUCCCAUUACUGUGGGAUAACCUGCCGAAAGGCAGACCAAUAUCGCAUAGUAAUGGAUGGGGGUGCGUCUGAUUAGCUGGUUGGCGGGGUAACGGCCCACCAAGGCGACAAUCAGUAGGGGUUCUGAGAAGCAGGUCCCCCAGAAUGGAACUGCGACCCAGUCCAAACCGCUAGGGGAGGUGGCGGUGACGUAUACUGGUAAAUAGACGUAAGUCUGACCCUGCCAAGUGUAGUGAGAAGUGACGGCCUAUGGAAUUUAAUCAACUUUUGUAAGGGGAUAGGUACCAUACGAAUAAGGACCGGCUAAUUCCGUGCCAGCAGCCGCGGUAAUUC
rnacentral:rRNA from 1 species